ACCGUCUCCGCCGCCUCUACCGCCGCGGCCGCUUCUCUGUUACCCGGGAAAUCCCGCCCACUCCCCCGGCCCGCCCCGCAGAGGGAAGACUCAACUUCGCUCCACCACAGGCCGCAUUAUCCGCCCGUCAAAGACUUAACCAAUCCCAGCACCCUGCUUGCCGGCUGCCCGCCCCUUCCCCCUCUGCUGGGAAGGGGGGGGAGCCGCUCACCUUCUCCACGCCCCUAUUGGCGGGGAGCUUCCCUAACUCAACCCCGCCUAUUGGAGACGAAUUGCUGAAUCCCACCCCCAAGCCUCAACACUAUUGGAGGAAGCAGGGGAGCUCUUCACAUCUCAUUGGAGGACUCCACACAUCCCGCCCCGUGCGAGCUCAGCCACAGGCCCAACAAGUCGGCUCCCGCCCUCGCCGGUCAUCGCAUUGGAAGGCUACCCCUGGCUCUCUCGCUGCCCCAGGAAGAGACUGAAGUGCAGAGAGUUCCAGGGCCCGAAACAGGAGGGGGCGCGGAGCUCAGCGGCCGGGAUCCCAUGCCCUGGGACUUGAAAGGGAGAGGCAGAGCACUACCACCGUGGAGGACCCCCUUACCAAAAAAAAAAAAAAAAAAAAAAAAGAGAGAAAGAAAGAACCUCAUCCUAUCGAAUUCUUUCUUUACAAUUUACAUUUCCGCACGCUGCCUCCUUGUAAACACAAAUAUCCGGAGCAACCGGAUCCGUACAGCUUUCAGUACGUACAGAAUUAAGUGCUGGAGACCAAAGACGAAAAAUCGCCCCAGUGGUUGCCAGCCCGCAGUUGGGGUGGCUGCACACUUCUAACACCGACAAUCCCUAAACUUCAGUAUGCAGUUCUAAGAGGGCGGGGAUAAUCAAAAUGAAGGCAGGGCCCUAACAGCCACCGCCCUGGCAAGCCUCCGGAAGGCGGAGCGUGAGGUGUAAGGCAUUUGCGAUCUCCGGGGUAGAUCUUGUAGGCACAUUCGGACUCGAACUGAAGGAGACCAAACAGCCCACGACAUAAAUGAACCUUCACCCCACACUUCAUAGAAAGAAUAAAAAUUCCAGAGUUAGUGACAAAAGAUAAGAACGACCGUUCACCUUACUCCUUUGGCCAACGAGGAUUAAUGGAAGUUCCUAGGCCGUCUCUGUGUACAUUAUAAUGCUUCAAACACAAAAGGUGCUUGCAACGUCUAACUUGCUUUUAUUUAUUUUACCAAAAUCGGGCGGAGAACGGUCGCUGGACCUGCUUUGGGGGGCGCUCAAGGAGCGCCAGGAAAGGAGGGGGCGGGACUAGAGUUUUCCCGCUCUCUAGCAAAAAAGGCUACUCCCCCAAGAGAGCCGUGUCAGUCCCCAAGUGGCAGGCCCCUGGGAACCCAUUACCAGGUCCUAUCUUG